UAUUUAUUUCCUAACACCAUUCAGUAUGUUAUAUUGAAAUAUUCACAAUUAAAUAUAAUAUGCUAAGUGUGCUGUGUAUUAUUCAAUAAAUAUCAGAUAAGAUCAGGAUCAGAUAAGAGAUCAAUUAGCAUCAUAAACACUAAUCCCUAUCAGUGCUCCAUCUAGCCAAAACAAAGGGGUGUUUAUAGAAUUUUGAUUGGUUCUGGGACCAUCUAUUUGAAAACAAACCACUUUUGAUUGGUUGGAGCACAGAAAGUUAUUUGGAGCACAGGAAGUUAUUUUUGUAAACAAUUUGGUUUCAGCAACUUAAAUUGAGCUAGAUUUUUAGGUAUAAUUCAGCAACAUUAAUUCUAGUGUCAAAUGUCUUGAAAUUCUUUCAGCACAUGAACUAUUGUGUGAUGAAAACAAUGUGUAUUUACUACAAUGUGUAAAUCAACAAUAAGUUUGUUGCAAAGAAGAUUCAAAGUGGGUGGUUAAAGUGAUCAACAACUGCCGUUUUUGUUUUUUUGGAAUGCUGAAGAACAGCUGUAACAGGUUUGUAUUUUCAUUUCUGCAUCUCUUUUUAUUUAAAUUAAUUAUGAUCAUUAUCAUAUUUAUGUAUUGUCACUGGAAAAUGUAACUGGAUGAGUAAAUGUAAUGCAAUUUUAAGGAAAAAAACACCAUUUGAAUUAUUAUGGCUGUAUUUUAUGGUUAUUGUCAUCUUAAAAUUUAUUUAUACCUAUUUCUUGUCAUUUAUGAACAGAUUUCUUUCCCCCAUAUUUAAUCAGAACUUUAAUAUUUUAUAUUUGAAGGUUAAACCCCAAGGUGAAAUUUACAUUGAUCGGAAGAUCCAUUGGACAGAAUGUGCAUCAUCGCCUGCCAAAAAAGGGAGCAAAAAGGGGACUACCUGAUGUAUGGACAUGUAUACCAGGCCAACUUGAGGGGAACAGGAGUGGGAAACCGUGCCCUGUAGCUUGUCCUUGACCAAGAAAAGAUGGAUUUGUUGAGAGGACCUGAUCUCAAAUGAGAUCAUGCACGAGAAGCGCCUCGCAGACCAUGACAGUAGUAUUCAGACCUGGUCAGCUGGUGAAGUGCUCUAUAAAGGGUUGUUAAUGAAUGCAUUCUUUGUAAGAAACAGUGUAUAACAACAAAUAUAGUGACAGGGGCUAAGCUGCUAAAUAUUGUCAGCAUGUAUGCAGUGAUUUUCUUUGGAAAUUCAAAACAACCUGUACGUACUGGCUCUCAGAAGGGCAUGUUUUAGCGCAAUAAUGAACAAAAAAAGGAAGAUCUUAAAAAUAAGGUAUAGAUUUAUAUAAAUUUCAUGAAUACUGUUCAUUUAUCAUAUAUUAGGAUCCAGAAUAUGAUUGAAUUAAAUGUACUGCUUUUGUCCAUAUUAAAAAGGAAUUAAUGUAAUAUAUAAAAAUCUAGUAAAUGAUAGGGAAAACAUUUCAGCUUAAGGAGGGGAAAUCUUUAAUAUUUUUGAAGUGGAAACCACCUGUAUUUGGCUGUUAAUCAGUUACCGAUAAUCAGGGGGGAGAAAAAUCACUGGUAUGAGCUUGAUAUUUUCAAUUGUUAAUUCCAGAUAGGCAAUAGCCCGUUUGAAUCCUCUCUUUUAUGUAGAUAUGUAACAUUUGUUUUUGUUUUUUAAGGUUUAACAUUCUAAUAAAAGUGUGUAUUUAUCUAUUGAAUUGUACUUUUUGUUUUUUAUGUAUGUGUUUACACUAACCUUUCAUUUAAAGAAUGAA